rnacentral:rRNA from 1 species
GUGUCAGCAGCCGCGGUAAUACCGGCAGCCCGAGUGAUAGCCGAUCUUAUUGGGCCUAAAGCGUCCGUAGCUGGCCGCACAAGUCCAUCGGAAAAUCCACCCGCCCAACGGGUGGGCGUCCGGUGGAAACUGUGUGGCUUGGGACCGGAAGGCGCGACGGGUACGUCCGGGGUAGGAGUGAAAUCCUGUAAUCCUAGACGGACCGCCGAUGGCGAAAGCACGUCGCGAGGACGGAUCCGACAGUGAGGGACGAAAGCCAGGGUCUCGAACCGGAUUAGAAACCCUCGUAGUCC